UAAAGAAUUUCGGUUAUCGAUGGGGAUGCGUUCCAUUAGUUAGUUGGCGGGGUAACGGCCCACCAAGACGACGAUGGAUAGGGGUUCUGAGAGGAAGGUCCCCCACAUUGGAACUGAGACACGGUCCAAACUCCUACGGGAGGCAGCAGUGAGGAAUAUUGGUCAAUGGACGAGAGUCUGAACCAGCCAAGUAGCGUGAAGGAUGACUGCCCUAUGGGUUGUAAACUUCUUUUAUAUGGGAAUAAAACAGGGUAUGCAUACCCUCUUGUAUGUACCAUAUGAAUAAGGAUCGGCUGACUCCGUGCCAGCAGCCGCGGUAAUACGGAGGAUCCGAGCGUUAUCCGGAUUUAUUGGGUUUAAAGGGAGCGUAGGUGGAUUGUUAAGUCAGUUGUGAAAGUUUGCGGCUCAACCGUAAAAUUGCAGUUGAAACUGGCAGUCUUGAGUACAGUAGAGGUGGGCGGAAUUCGUGGUGUAGCGGUGAAAUGCUUAGAUAUCACGAAGAACUCCGAUUGCGAAGGCAGCUCACUGGACUGCAACUGACACUGAUGCUCGAAAGUGUGGGUAUCAAACAGGAUUAGAUACCCUGGUAGUCCACA
rnacentral:rRNA from 1 species